GGCCUUGACAUACUAAGAACUUUCCAGAGAUGGAUUGGUGCCUUCGGGAACUUAGAUACAGGUGCUGCAUGGCUGUCGUCAGCUCGUGUCGUGAGAUGUUGGGUUAAGUCCCGNAACGAGCGCAACCCUUUUCCUAUUUGCCAGCGGGUCAUGCCGGGAACUUUAAGGAUACUGCCAGUGGCAAACUGGAGGAAGGCGGGGACGACGUCAAGUCAUCAUGGCCCUUACGGCCAGGGCUACACACGUGCUACAAUGGUCGGUACAAAGGGUUGCUACCUCGCGAGAGGAUGCUAAUCUCAAAAAGCCGAUCGUAGUCCGGAUCGCAGUCUGCAACUCGACUGCGUGAAGUCGGAAUCGCUAGUAAUCGCGGAUCAGAAUGCCGCGGUGAAUACGUUCCCGGGCCUUGUACACACCGCCCGUCACACCAUGGGAGUUUGUUGCACCAGAAGUAGGUAGUCUAACCGCAAGGAGGACGCUUACCACGGUGUGGCCGAUGACUGGGGUGAAGUCGUAACAAGGUAGGCGUAGAUGA
rnacentral:rRNA from 1 species